AAAUUAGAGUGCUCAAAGCAGGCUAAAAUGCCUGAAUAUUCGUGCAUGGAAUAAUAGAAUAGGAUGUCGAUCCUAUUUUGUUGGUUUUCGGGACUCGACAUAAUGAUAAAUAGGGACAGUCGGGGGCAUUUGUAUUCAAACGACAGAGGUGAAAUUCUUGGACCGUUUGAAGACAAACUACUGCGAAAGCAUUUGCCAAGAAUGUUUUCAUUAAUCAAGAACGAAAGUUAGAGGUU
rnacentral:rRNA from 1 species